rnacentral:rRNA from 1 species
UGGGGAAUUUUGGACAAUGGGCGAAAGCCUGAUCCAGCAAUGCCGCGUGUGUGAAGAAGGCCUUCGGGUUGUAAAGCACUUUUGUCCGGAAAGAAAUCCUUGGCUCUAAUACAGUCGGGGGAUGACGGUACCGGAAGAAUAAGCACCGGCUAACUACGUGCCAGCAGCCGCGGUAAUACGUAGGGUGCAAGCGUUAAUCGGAAUUACUGGGCGUAAAGCGUGCGCAGGCGGUUUGCUAAGACCGAUGUGAAAUCCCCGGGCUCAACCUGGGAACUGCAUUGGUGACUGGCAGGCUAGAGUAUGGCAGAGGGGGGUAGAAUUCCACGUNUAGCAGUGAAAAUGCGUAGAGAUGUGGAGGAAUACCGAUGGCGAAGGCAGCCCCCUGGGCCAAUACUGACGCUCAUGCACGAAAGCGUGGGGAGCAAACAGGAUUAGAUACCCUGGUAGUCCACGCCCUAAAACGAUGUCAACUAGUUGUUGGGGAUUCAUUUCCUUAGUAACGUAGCUAACGCGUGAAGUUGACCGCCUGGGGAGUACGGUCGCAAGAUUAAAACUUAAAGGAAUUGACGGGGUCAUAGCUG